rnacentral:rRNA from 1 species
GACAGAGGGGGCAAGCGUUGCUCGGAAUCACUGGGCGUAAAGGGCGCGUAGGCGGGCUGGCAAGUCGGUCGUGAAAUCCUUCGGCUCAACCGAAGAACGUCGGCCGAUACUGCCGUUCUUGAGGGAUGCAGAGGAGAUUGGAAUUCCCGGUGUAGCGGUGAAAUGUGUAGAGAUCGGGAGGAACACCAGCGGCGAAGGCGGGUAGCUGGGCCAACACUGACGCUGAUGCGCGAAAGCUAGGGGAGCAAACGGG